UGGCUCUCGCACCGAUGAAGAACGCAGCGAAAUGCGAUAAGUAAUGUGAAUUGCAGAAUUCAGUGAAUCAUCGAAUCUUUGAACGCACCUUGCACCCUUUGGUAUUCCGAGGGGUACGCCCGUUUGAGUGUCAUUGUAAUCUCACUCCAACAGCCUUUGCCGGUUGUGGGAAGUGGACUUGGACUCUGUUGUGUCACUACAACUGGUCUGAAAUGCAUGAGUGUACCCUGCUGUUGCGGCGUCUUCAGUGUGAUAAGCAUCCUCACUGGACAAAGUUCCCUUCUUGGGACACGCACGUGCGAUGGGCUCUGCGCUUCUAACCGUCCUGCUUGCUGGACAAUCUUUGACAACUUGACCUCAAAUCGGGUGGGACUACCCGCUGA
rnacentral:misc_RNA from 1 species